rnacentral:rRNA from 1 species
CCCUUAGACGUUCUGGGCCGCACGCGCGCUACACUGACAUGUUCAACAAGCCUCCUAGUUCGACAGGAUUUGGGAAAUCUUUGAACGCAUGUCGUGAUAGGGAUAGAUCAUUGCAAUUAUUGAUCUUGAACGAGGAAUUCCUAGUAAACGCGAGUCAUCAGCUCGCAUUGAUUACGUCCCUGCCCUUUGUACACACCGCCCGUCGCACCUACCGAUUGAAUGUUUCGGUGAAGAUUCCGGAUAGGACUUUUUUGAUUUAUUUCAAUUUUGUCUUAAAAGCUAUCUAAACCUCAACAUUUAGAGGAAGGUGAAGUCGUAACA